AGCGAACGCUGGCGGCAGGCCUAACACAUGCAAGUCGAACGAGCUCUUCGGAGCUAGUGGCGGACGGGUGAGUAACACGUGGGAACGUGCCUUUAGGUUCGGAAUAACUCAGGGAAACUUGAGCUAAUACCGGAUGUGCCCUUCGGGGGAAGGAUUUAUCGCCAUUAGAGCGGCCCGCGUAGGAUUAGCUAGUUGGUGGGGUAAAGGCCCACCAAGGCUACGAUCCUUAGCUGGUCUGAGAGGAUGAUCAGCCACAUUGGGACUGAGACACGGCCCAAACUCCUACGGGAGGCAGCAGUGGGGAAUCUUGCGCAAUGGGCGAAAGCCUGACGCAGCCAUGCCGCGUGGAUGAUGAAGGUCUUAGGAUUGUAAAAUUCUUUCACCGGGGACGAUAAUGACGGUACCCGGAGAAGAAGCCCCGGCUAACUUCGUGCCAGCCGCCGCAGUAAAAC
rnacentral:rRNA from 1 species